rnacentral:lncRNA from 1 species
AGAGGGAACGACGCAUGCUUGAGAAAUGGCGGGAAACAGAGGAGGCUCGAGGCUUGCUCACACGCACACAGCCAACUGCUUCUGGACCGCCUUGCUCACACGCACACAGCCAACUGCUUCUGGACCGCCUGAAAGGCAACCUCGCCCGCCGCGGUGGUGUGGGGCGGGCAUCCCUUGAGACUGUGCUCUGGAGGCCUGGAGAAACAGCUUUCUAUCCUCAGCACUGGGGAGAGCAGGCCUCAAUCCCUGCCUUUGCCUGCCGCCCCUCUUCCUUCCCUCUCAAAGCAUACCCAGCAGCCCCGGCGCUGAGAAACGCGUUACUCUCUUAUCAGCUGUGGGAGAGACAAGACAGACUGGCCUCUGGGCGGAGGGGCCGCCAUUGCCUGCCCUCUGGACCAGGGCCUCACAGAUACCCUCAGCUUCAGGAUUAGGGCUGCGUUGGUUUUUCCCCCCACAUCAGGGGACUUCAACAAGUAACCUCCAGUUCCAUAGAUAAAACUUGUAUUCCCCCCUUCUCCAUGGCAGGGGUUUUGAGCCUAGAGAAGGAAGAUCGGAGCUUCCUGGGGCUCCUGUGAAGCAGGCAGGGGGCAGCACUGGGCCCCGGGAAGAGGCGGAGAAGGCGAGGGAGUGCCUGCGGUGAGCCCAGAGCCUUGGGCCCGUUAUCCUCUGAUGCUGCUCCCCCAACUUUCCUGCCGUCAGUCCCUGACCUUGCCUGAGACCUUGGCGGCUCCCGCACCUCUCUCCCGGCUCCUCCUUGCUGAGAACACAACCCGCAAGGCCCUUCCGCCUGGCUGGACUGAGUCCCCUAUGGAGGCAGCCUGGCAGGGAGCAGGUAUCUUCCUGGCAGAAGAGGACAGACCUGGUAAACUGAGAGACUGUUGAUGCCCCAAUGUUCUGCCUAGCCUGCCUGGAAACUCCAGAAGGCCACAACAACUGGAUUCUCUUUUCUGAUUUUUGCUGCAGCUUCUGCUUUGUAAUCAUACGGACAGUUGUGCUUGUCAGAGUUAACGGUGAAGUCCACAAAACAAAUUUCCACAUCGGCAGUCAAACCUCUCAUCCUGCAGCUAAGAAUGCCUAACCUCCUGGGAAUGCAGCCCAGCAGAUCUCAGCCUCAUUUUACCCAGCCCCAGUUCAAUAUGGAGUUGCUCUGGUUCGAACACCUCUGACAGUAUGGAGGGUUUACAAUUCUUAAGAAGAGAGAAGUUGCUGAGCUUUAGAGAAUAAGCUGAAACAUGCAUGAAGCACUAAUAACUCUUGCCCUGUACUUUGUUACUUUAGUGAUAAAUUUUAC